UAGGGAAUCUUCCACAAUGGACGAAAGUCUGAUGGAGCAACGCCGCGUGAGUGAUGAAGGGUUUCGGCUCGUAAAACUCUGUUGUUGGAGAAGAACGGGUGUCAGAGUAACUGUUGACAUCGUGACGGUAUCCAACCAGAAAGCCACGGCUAACUACGUGCCAGCAGCCGCGGUAAUACGUAGGUGGCAAGCGUUGUCCGGAUUUAUUGGGCGUAAAGCGAGCGCAGGCGGUUUUUUAGGUCUGAUGUGAAAGCCUUCGGCUUAACCGGAGAAGUGCAUCGGAAACCGGGAGACUUGAGUGCAGAAGAGGACAGUGGAACUCCAUGUGUAGCGGUGAAAUGCGUAGAUAUAUGGAAGAACACCAGUGGCGAAGGCGGCUGUCUGGUCUGCAACUGACGCUGAGGCUCGAAAGCAUGGGUAGCGAACAGGAUUAGAUACCCUGGUAGUC
rnacentral:rRNA from 1 species